AGCUCUACUAGUGUACACUGAAGUUGUUGCAGUUAAAAAGUUCGUAGUCGAAGUUGUUAUAGAGGUACUUUGGGACUUUUUAGUUUGCAGAGUUGCCAAUAUGACUGUAAAGGUGGGGUGGGUUUGAGAGUUAUUCAGUUAGCUGUCGGGCUCGUUAAGCUCUGCUUUUGGUUCAUUUUGAAUAAAACAAAUUGCUCAAAGAAGAGUGUAUAUGCUCGUUGAUUGUUUAGCAUAAGAUGAUGAAAGAGGCACGGGCGGGUGUUUUAUAGUUGGUUGUAAUGCGCACGUGAAUGAUGAAUAAGAGCGGAAAGGGGCAUUCGGACUCUCAAAUUAGAGGUGAAAUUCUGUGAUUUUGGGAAGACGAACAGAUGCGAAAGCGGUUGCCAGAGACGCGUCUAUU
rnacentral:rRNA from 1 species